rnacentral:rRNA from 1 species
CCUACGGGAGGCAGCAGUGGGGAAUUUUCCGCAAUGGGCGAAAGCCUGACGGAGCAACGCCGCGUGAGGGAUGAAGGCCUCUGGGCUGUAAACCUCUUUUAUCAAGGAAGAAGAUCUGACGGUACUUGAUGAAUAAGCCACGGCUAAUUCCGUGCCAGCAGCCGCGGUAAUACGGGAGUGGCAAGCGUUAUCCGGAAUUAUUGGGCGUAAAGCGUCCGCAGGCAGUCUUGUAAGUCUGUCGUUAAAGCGUGGAGCUCAACUCCAUUUCGGCGGUGGAAACUACAAGACUAGAGUGUGGUAGGGGCAGGGGGAAUUCCCGGUGUAGCGGUGAAAUGCGUAGAUAUCGGGAAGAACACCAGUGGCGAAGGCGCUCUGCUGGGCCAUAACUGACGCUCAUGGACGAAAGCUAGGGGAGCGAAAGGGAUUAGAUACCCCUGUAGUCCUAGCCGUAAACGAUGAACACUAGGUGUCGGGGGAAUCGACCCCCUCGGUGUCGUAGCUAACGCGUUAAGUGUUCCGCCUGGGGUAGUACGCNCGCAGUGUGAACUAAAUAGUAAGUUAGUACGGCGUGAGACGUGCCGACGGACGACGACGAGGGAGUAGG